rfam:Candidatus Amoebophilus asiaticus 5a2, complete genome.
GGAAGCGGUGUGAGCUGAGAGGUUCAUGCACCGUUUUAAGAGGGGCUGAGGUUGAAAUACCUCGGUCUACUCACC